UUAUUUUAUAUUAUUAUGGUAAUGGCAAUUUUAAUUAUUUUAAUUUUGUAGUUUUUAGACUUGCAUCUGUUGUGCCCGUACGAAUACGCUGGAAAUCGCUGUUGGUUUAGUAUUUAUUACAAGGUCUGUGCAUCUGUUUUGCCCGAUUGACUGUGAUUGAUAAGCGGCCAACCGACCCGAAGAGUGCUGUCUCUAAUUCAUAAUGGUUGUGUAAUACAUAUACAGAUUGUGCACGGUCUUUGGUAAAGCUACAAAAUUUUCACUUCUGUUGUUGUACUCACGACAUGUUGAUAGUUCUGUGCUACUGGUUUUUAUUUUUGCCUAUGCUUGCCCUCCCUUACUGUUUGCCGUUCUUCCAAAAUGGUACGUUUGAGUCUCUUAUCAAUCCGUAUUUUUCUAAUAAUAAUUAUAUCAAUUUGUACUUCGAGUAUAUUACUUCAAUAAGAACGAAAUUUUUUUAUGUGUGUGAUCGUGACAAUAAAUAAACAUUAAUUAAUAAAGAAACAUUUAUUUAUUUUUAUUUUUAAAAGAAACUAAUAUCCUAUGUUUACAAUAUUAUUUACCAUAGGUCAAAAAAUAAUAAAUU